UCCCAACCUGGAUUGUAUGUGUUAUAGUAUGAAUCAUGUCUUGGCUGUUCAUAGAAUCCUCCAUAUGCAUGCACUGGUUGGUCAUACUGAUAAAGUGUGGGACAUUGAUCAGUUGGGUGUCCCACAUAUCUACAGAUCCUACAUGGUGUUGGUGGCUGGGUGAACUAGUUCUGUGGCAAACUCUUUCAUAAAAGAUGUUAGAAAAAAAAAGAUCAGAUCUACUUAACUCAUCCAUGAUUCAGAUCUGUGAUGGUGAAUGAGCCAUUUGGUGAGAUGUUCGGCAGCUGGAGAAGGGAAGAUUCGGCGACCGAAUGAAGAGGAAUUUCGGCAGCCGAAUGUUGGGCAGAAGGUUCUGCGUUGGAGGCUUGCUUUCCUAGCCUUCUGAGAGUGCGUUCAAUUUCUGGAUCAAAGGGCAGAGUGUCCCUGUGUUCAGAUCUGGUCAUGAAAGAAAAAUAAACAAGUUAAAUCAAUUCUCCGGCAACGGUGCCAAUUUUUGACUCGCGGUUGUCGAAGCCGGUCAAAAAUAACCUCUACGGUUAUCAACAAUCUUACAACUGCAGAUAGUGGUAAAGGAUCGAAUCCAUAGAGAAUUGAAUACUUAUCUAUUUUUCCCAAACAAGAUCAAGAGAUUCAACUGAAAGCACAACUAAAAGCAAGUAGAUCAAAAGUAAAGUGCAAUAAAGUAAAAAGGGGGGUUUUGAGAUUGAUUUGACUAACAACUAUUGAAAGCAAUUAAAACAGCAAGUAAUUAAAAUAAAAGAGGAAAUCAAUAUGAGAAAGGUCUAGUUGAAGAUAUGGAUCCACUUUGGUUGUUUGGGUUGAUCAUUGAAACUUAAGUUCUUCUUGGUUGGUUCAAUAGAUUAGUUAUGGGGGUGGAAAACGCUUCUCACCACCAUGUCUCUCCUUAUGAUUAAAUCAAUUAGGGAACGUCCUAUAAUCAAUUACUAAUUAACAAAUUGCCAAGGAACGUCCUUGGGCCUUAGGCAUCAAAACAAUUGUCAAUUGCAUAAAGAAUGAGAGAGAUCCAAUCCUAGCUACUCCAAACGCAUGAAGAUGAUGCUAGAUCAUGCAAUUCCUUAGUUUUUACACCAAGUGUUCUUAGGUCAGAAUAUUUCCAGCAAUUACAGACCAACAAAUAUCCCAACUAACAAUCAAUUAACUUUGCAAUCAAGAAUCAAGUGGCCAAUUUGAUCAAAACAACAAAGCAAUCUUAGAAUUAAGCACACAAUUGCAUGAAUAUUGAAUCAAACCAAAAGCAAACACUUUAUGUUGAGAUCUCACAACCCUUUAAACAACCUUAAUUUCAACCAAACUUCAACUAGAAUUAGGGGUUUCAGCCACUCAUGACUGAACCAAAACAGAAAAUAAAAGAAAAGAAAGCAAGAAGAUGAAGAACUGAAGGGGAGAAGCCUUGGAGAGCCUUGGCCGAACCUUGGAGGAGUUGUGUGGAUGUAAAUCUGCCUUUCCUAUCUUCUUGAAGCCUUUAAAUAUGUCUUGGGAGGCUGCCUAGGGUUCCUUGGCAGUCCAUGAGUCUUUUAGAAGCUGUCCAAAGUACUCUUGGUCCCAUAUGUGCCUUCUUUGUGCAUGUGUGAAGGCAAAAACGUGGAGCAUGCAUGGGAUUGCAAGUGGGGGCUUUUUGGUCUUUUAAUUGCUACCCAAGGUCUUCAAGAUGUUGCCCAAGGAUUCCAAGAGGUUGCCCAUGCACUAAUAAGGAAGGUGGAGCCUCCUUUUGAAAUUUGAAUGUGCAUGGUAUGAAGUGGGAAACAUGUGAUCUUUGGAUUUGGCUUCCUUAAUAAGCUGGAUCUUGAAAUCCAAUAUUUGAAUGUGAAUCUUGAAGAUUUGGAUUUCAAAAUACUUCCCUUAUUUGGCUCCUCAAAUAUGACAACUUGGGAUAUGGCUUCUUGAAUAAGGAAAGGGAGUGUUGAGAGGGACUUUCAACUGCCUAAAAUUGCUUCCGGAAGUGGUACUUUCGGCUCUGGAGUGAAGGUUCGGCGGCCGAAGGUGGGUGACUUUCAGCUCUGGACCAGAUGACUCGCGGUUGUCAAAGCCGAUCAAAAAUAACCUUCUUAGUUAUCAACAAUUUACAACUGCAGAUAGUGAUGAAUGAUCGAAUCCACAGAGAAUUGAUUACCUAUUUAUUUUUCUCAACAAGACCAAUAAACUGAAACAAUGAGAUAAACAAAAAAUGAGAUAAACUGAAAGCGGAAUAAAAAUAAAUUGCAGUAAAAGUAAAAUGGGGGGUUUGAGAUUGAUUGUAGUAACUAAUAAUGAGAGUAAUAAUAGAAAGCAAAUAAUUAAAAUAAAAGAGGAAAUCAAUAUGAGAAAAAUCUAGUUGAAGAUAUGGAUCCACUUUGGUUGUUUGAAUUGAUCAUUGAAACUUAGAUUAUCUUGAUUGGUUUAAUAGAUUAAUUAUGGGGGAGGAAGACGCUUCUCACCACCAUGUCUCUCCUUAUGAUUAAAUUAAUUAGGGAACGUCCUCUAAUCAAUUACUAAUUAACAAAUUGCCAAGGAACGUCCUUGGGCCAUAGGCAUCAAAACAAUUGUCAAUUGCAUAAAGAAAUAGAGAGAUCCAAUCCUAGCUACCCAAACGUAUGGAGAUAAUGCUAGAUCAUGCAAUUCCUUGGUUUUUACACCAAGUGUUCUAAGGUUAGAAUAUUUCCAGCAAUUACGGACUAAAAAUAAUCCCAACUAACAAUCAAUUAACUUUGCAAUUAAAAUCAAGUGGCCAAUUUGAUCAAAACAACAAAGUAAUCAUGUAAUUAAAGCAUCAAUUGCAUGAAUAUUGAACAAAACCAAAGACAAUAAUUUAUGUUCAGAUCUCACAACCCAUUAAAAAACCUUAGUUUCAACCAAUUCUCAACUAGAGUUAAAGAAAUCAGCCACUCAUUGGUUGAAUUAAAAACAGAAAAUUAAAAGGAAAAGAAAAGAACCGAAAAUUGAGAGGAAUCUGCCCUGUGCGCCGAACUUGCCGAAUUGCUGAGAGAUGAGAA
rnacentral:lncRNA from 1 species